rnacentral:rRNA from 1 species
AGCAGGUGCGAAAGCAGGUCAUAGUGAUCCGGUGGUUCUGAAUGGAAGGGCCAUCGCUCAACGGAUAAAAGGUACUCCGGGGAUAACAGGCUGAUACCGCCCAAGAGUUCAUAUCGACGGCGGUGUUUGGCACCUCGAUGUCGGCUCAUCACAUCCUGGGGCUGAAGUAGGUCCCAAGGGUAUGGCUGUUCGCCAUUUAAAGUGGUACGCGAGCUGGGUUUAGAACGUCGUGAGACAGUUCGGUCCCUAUCUGCCGUGGGCGCUGGAGAACUGAGGGGGGCUGCUCCUAGUACGAGAGGACCGGAGUGGACGCAUCACUGGUGUUCGGGUUGUCAUGCCAAUGGCACUGCCCGGUAGCUAAAUGCGGAAGAGAUAAGUGCUGAAAGCAUCUAAGCACGAAACUUGCCCCGAGAUGAGUUCUCCCUGACCCUUUAAGGGUCCUGAAGGAACGUUGAAGACGACGACGUUGAUAGGCCGGGUGUGUAAGCGCAGCGAUGCGUUGAGCUAACCGGUAC